UACGAAGGGGGCUAGCGUUGCUCGGAAUCACUGGGCGUAAAGGGUGCGUAGGCGGGUCUUUAAGUCAGGGGUGAAAUCCUGGAGCUCAACUCCAGAACUGCCUUUGAUACUGAAGAUCUUGAGUUCGGGAGAGGUGAGUGGAACUGCGAGUGUAGAGGUGAAAUUCGUAGAUAUUCGCAAGAACACCAGUGGCGAAGGCGGCUCACUGGCCGGUACUGACGCUGAGGUGCGAAAGCGUGGGAGCA
rnacentral:rRNA from 1 species